rfam:Arabis alpina cultivar Pajares chromosome 2, whole genome shotgun sequence.
UUUUAGGUUUUUUUCAAAACCCUCAAACAUUAUAAAUCGAUCUGUUU